GUGGGGAAUCUUGCGCAAUGGGCGAAAGCCUGACGCAGCCAUGCCGCGUGAAUGAUGAAGGUCUUAGGAUUGUAAAAUUCUUUCACCGGGGACGAUAAUGACGGUACCCGGAGAAGAAGCCCCGGCUAACUUCGUGCCAGCAGCCGCGGUAAUACGAAGGGGGCUAGCGUUGCUCGGAAUUACUGGGCGUAAAGGGCGCGUAGGCGGACAGUUUAGUCAGAGGUGAAAGCCCAGGGCUCAACCUUGGAAUUGCCUUUGAUACUGGCUGUCUUGAGUACGGGAGAGGUGAGUGGAACUCCGAGUGUAGAGGUGAAAUUCGUAGAUAUUCGGAAGAACACCAGUGGCGAAGGCGACUCACUGGCCCGUUACUGACGCUGAGGCGCGAAAGCGUGGGGAGCAAACAGGAUUAGAAACCCGAGGUAGUCC
rnacentral:rRNA from 1 species